rnacentral:lncRNA from 1 species
UGUGUAUGCAAUAUUUCCAAUGGCCAAAAAAUCCAAGUUUAUCAUUGUUGACUAAAACAAAGUCAACUGUGAUAUGUACACAGGAUGAAAUUCAGCAUACUUGUAACUAUUGGCAAAUACUAAUUUUUCUCUCUAAAAAUGGACCAAAAUGAAGCAUAUUUGAUUCAUAAAAAUGCAGAAAGGUUUAAAAUAAAGUUUUUAUUAUUAAUUGCAAUGUAAUGAAGCAUUUAUCACAGAUGAAUAUAAACAAGGCUUCAAUAUAUACAAACAGUAUAUCCUCUUUGAGGACUAAAACUGUGAAGACAAAACAAAUUAACAUACUUGUAAUGCAAUUUGAUCACAUUAGUACAGAUGGAUGGAUUCAUAGGUAAAUACAUGUACACUCUGUUUCGUUGAAGAAAAACACAAAAUGGCUUAAAUUUAAUUUCAUUUAUGAAAUACACCUUUGAUUUGAAUUGCCCAUUGAUUUUCCUUCCUUUUUUAACACAGCAAAUUGGUAUAAGUAAUUUGAUUAUCCUGAACAUUUCUGCAAUACCGCUACUGAUCAUUUUAUGCCCCUGAAGCAAACUAUAUUUGGUUGUUUAUAUUAAAAUAUACAUUAUACCCCAAAAUCUUAGGAGUUAACCAACCUUGAAUAAUAAACUUAUGAUCAGCACAACUUAAAAAAGAUCUUAAAAUACUUUGUUUAUCAAAUAAUCUUUUAACUUUACUGAAGUGUAUUAAAUGUACAAUGUAAAUAUAUUAUAACUUUAGUCACAUAUUAUAUUUAGUACAUGUAGUGCUGUUCAUGGGUGAAUGUAACAGAGCAGGUAAAUACAACACAAGCCCCUUCCCUAAAAAACUAAAGCCAAAGUCAUAUUAUAAUACAAUACAAUAAUAAACAGAAGGUAAAAUAAUCAUUACAAUACAAGAACAAACAACUGUUUACUAAAACAAGUGCUUUAUUUCAGUCAAAACAAUAGCACUUAAGAUGUAAAUUAAUGUGUAGGUCCUUUUUCAAAAUUGAUGAAACUUAAAAACAAUUGUUUUAGUCAACAAUGAUAAAAUAUUAUAAUCAUUGAUUGUCAGAUCAAAUACAAAUUGCCUCCCUACUUAUAAAUAAACAAGAAUGUGUCCUCAGUACACGGAUGCCCCACUUGCACUAUCAUUUCCUACGUUCAGUAUACCAUGAAAUUGGGGUAAAAACUCUUAAUUUGGCAUUACAAUUAGAAAGAUCAUAUCAUAAGGAACAUGUGUUCUAAGUUUCAAGUUUCAUCAAAAACUACCUUGACCAAAAACUUUAACCUGAAGCGGGACGAAGGGACGAACAGACAGACCAGAAAACAUAAUGCCCCUCUACUAUCGUACAUGGAGCAUAAAAUGAAUGAUCAGGUUUAAAUACUUAUUUCUAUAGGUUUUAAAGACAUGCUUGCUAAGGGUGUGUUUUUCAAAUUCACCCUUCAAAUAAUUACCACCCCAAAAAGAAAUUUACUGUUUAGAUCUGAAAAGCAUAAUCAGUUUCUUCAAUCAAGAUUGUUGUUAACUUGUGAAUUUCUGGCAACAAAUUAUAAAUAUAAUCUUAAAAACAUCAGAACAGAAAUUUCUGCUAUGCAUUACAGUUCUGUUCACAAAAAUAAAAUUUUAAGUUUUAAAUUACUCAUUUUUAAUAAUAUAUAUAUAUAUAUAUCUUCAAUACACUAACAGUAAAUAGUUUACAAUAGUUAUAUACAUGAGACUCACCCUUAUAUCAUAAACAAAUAACUUAAUUCAUCCUAAAUAUCCAUGUACUUCAAAUUUAUAAUGAAUUUAUAGUAUAAAUCAUUCAUAGAGUGAUCUAAUAAGUUACAAAGCAUGUCUUGAAACAGUGAAAUCAAUCACAAAUCAAGUAAGGGUUCUACUGAUCUCUUGAGGGCAGAAAAAAACCCGUUUAUAAAUAGACUAAAUAAAACCCAAAUAAACAUUCCUUGGCAUGUACAAAAUUCCCCCUUGAAAUAGUAGCAACUACAAGUGAAAACAAACCAUAAUAUGAAUAUGAACUAUUGUACAAUGUAUUAGGAUUUGUUUGAAAUCAAACAUUUUUUUCCAAUAACCAGUAAAGAGAAGAUAGACAAGAGUGUGUACUGAAUUGUAAAUAUGAAUGAACCUAUAUAACUUGUAACCUUCUUGGUUGUCAGUUUAUUAUCAAUCUAUGAGUUUGACUGUCCCUCUGGUAUCUUUCGUCCCUCUUUUAUCAAAUAAAUAUAAUGUUUGGUAUAGCAUAAUCAAUGAAACUCUCAGCUAAUCAAACUUGUUCUCAAUCAUAGUAAACACAUGAUUCAAAUAUAACAAGAAGUAAUUGUAACAGGAUGCUGUUACGAAGUCUCCCAAACAAAGCUCCAAUAACUCGCCAUUCAUAUGGUCCCAUGUUCAUUUGAUUUGAUUUUUUGUCCCAUACAAGAAUAUAUAUGGCUUACGGGUGGGUAUCUCCACCAUUUACAAGUAUUCAAACAGGAGGGGGUGGUGAUAACCCCCAGGGACUUUACCUACAUUUCAUUUGAUUUGUUUUAUUGUCCCCUACAAGAAUAUAUAUGGUUUAGGGGUGGGGAUCUGGACCGUUUACAAGAUAAUAGCACAUUCUCAAAUUGAACAGGGUGGGGGCAACCCCAGGAACUUUCCUUUUAUUUCAUUUGAUUAGCCUUAUUGUCCCAUACAAGAAUAUAUAUAUGGUUUAGGGGUAGGGAUGUUGACCGUUUACAAGUUUUCAGACAAGAGGGGUGGGGUUACCCCCUAGGGACUUCCCUUUUAUUUCAUUUCAUUUGUUUUAUUGUCCCCUACAAGAAUAUAUAUGGUUUAGGGUUGGGGAUGUUGACCAUUUACAAGUUUUCAAACAAGAGGGGGUGGUGAUAACCCCAGGGACUUUACCUACAUUUCAUUUGAUUUGUUUUAUUGUCCCCUACAAGAAUAUAUAUGGUUUAGGGGUGGGGAUCUGGACCGUUUACAAGAUAAUAGCACAUUCUCAAAUUGAACAGGGUGGGGGCGACCCCAGGAACUUUCCUUUUAUUUUAUUUGAUUAGCCUUAUUGUCCCAUACAAGAAUAUAUAUGGUUUAGGGGUAGGGAUGUUGACCGUUUACAAGUUUUCAGACAAGAGGGGGUGGGGUUACCCCCUAGGGACUUCCCAUUUAUUUCAUUUCAUUUGUUUUAUUGUCCCCUACAAGAAUAUAUAUGGUUUAGGGGUGGGGAUGUUGACCGUUUACAAGUUUUCAAACAAGAGGGGGUGGGGUGAUCCCCUCAGGACUUCCCUUUUAUUUCAUUUGCAUUUGUUUUAUUGUCCUCUACAAGAAUAUAUAUGGUUUAGGGGUGGGGAUCUGGACCAUUUACAAGAUAAUAGUACAUUCUCAAAUUGAACGGGGUGGGGGUGACCCCCAGGAACUUCCAUUUAAUUUCAUUUGAUUAGUUUUAUUGUCCAAUACAAGAAUAUAUAUGGUUUAGGGGUGGGGAUGUUGACCGUUUACAAGUUUUCAAACAAGAUGGGGUGGGGUGACCCCCUAGGGACUUCCCUUUUAUUUCAUUUCAUUUGUUUUAUUGUCCUCUACAAGAAUAUAUAUGGUUUAGGGGUGGGGAUCUCGACCGUUUACAAGAUAAUAGCACAUUCUCAAAUUGAACGGGGUGGGGAGGACCCCCGGGGACUUCCCUUUAAUUUCAUUUGAUUUGUUUUAUCGUCCCAUUCAAAAAUGUAUGAGGUUUAGGGGUGGGGAUCUGGACUGUUUAUAAGAUAAAAGCAUAUUCUCAAAUUGAAGGGGGUGAGGAUGACCCCCCAGGGACUCCCCCUAUAUUUCAUGUGAUUUGUUUUAUUGUCCUAUAAUCAUUUCUGAAGACUACAUGUACCUAUCACUUACAGUUUUCAAGUUAUAUUCAUUUGAAAAUUUUAGAAAAUAAAAUCCCAUAGGGUUCUAUAG